rnacentral:pre_miRNA from 1 species
GUUUUACCAGGAGUUCUCUUCAAGCACUUCACGUGGAGUUUUUUUUUUGAUAUGGAGCUUCAAAAACAAUGUGAAGUGUUUGGGGAACUCUUGAUACUAA